AAAGUCGUAACAAGGUUUCCUUCCCCUGCAGAAGCCUUUUGCAGCGACUAUAAAAAGAAAUUGCACAGUUUGCAUGCAAGCAAUGCCACUCAAAUGCUGGGACAAUUUGAACCAGCAGCCUGCAGGGCUCACAGAUCAGAUAGUGGUAACCAUUGUUAAUGGGUAAGAUAUGACCGGUCUUGACUAGAGUUAGUUGAGAAUCAACGUUCCGUAGGUGAACCUGCGGAAGGAUCAUUAAAGGUUUAGGGUACCCAGUGCCCAAACUUCAACCCUAAUGUCUUCUAUAACUUGUUUCUUUGCCGGUUUUGGCCGGCAGAAGAUUUCUCAAACUCAUUAUGAAAUGUGUCUUCUGAAUAUCAAAGGAAAAAUAUAUUAAAACUUUCAACAACGGAUCUCUUGGUUCUG
rnacentral:misc_RNA from 1 species